CCCUUAGAUGUCCUGGGCUGCACGCGCGCUACACUGGAAGUUACGGAUUGAGAUACUACCUUGUCCGAAAUGGUCCGGGUAAUCACCUAAAAGCUUGUCAUAAUUGGAAUGGAUUAUUGUAACUAGUAAUCCUGAACGAGGAAUUCCUAGUAAGUCACAGUCAACAGCUGGUACUGAUUACGUCCCUGCCCUUUGUACACACCGCCCGUCGCUACUACUGAUUGGACGUUUAAGCAAGAUUUUUAAACACUGACAGUGUGUAGUUCACGCUAUACUACAGUGAGAAGAAGAAGAUCGAGCUUACUUGUCUAGAGGAAGUAAAAGUCGUAACA
rnacentral:rRNA from 1 species